rnacentral:rRNA from 1 species
GACGUAGGGCGCGAGCGUUGUCCGGAUUUAUUGGGCGUAAAGAGCUCGUAGGCGGCUUGUCGCGUCGACCGUGAAAACUUGGGGCUCAACCCCAAGCCUGCGGUCGAUACGGGCAGGCUCGAGUUCGGUAGGGGAGACUGGAAUUCCUGGUGUAGCGGUGAAAUGCGCAGAUAUCAGGAAGAACACCAAUGGCGAAGGCAGCUCUCUGGGACGGUACUGACGCUGAGACGCGAAAGCGUGGGGAGCGAACAGG